UGCGGCCGACGUUGGAUGUACUUGCGGUGCUGAUGGGAGCUAAUCCAGGCUGACGAGGUGUGCAGCUCCUUAACCACCCUCCGACUCUCCUGGAGCUUUUUGGCAGCAGUCUGGGCGGUGGAGAAAUCAUUUCCCUGCUGGAGCCAGAGCUUCCAUUUUAUCAGCCAUGCUAUGAAAUUAACCCGAUAAUUGUGCUGGAUCUGCCUUUUCUCUCUAAGUGCUCAUUCAAUCUUGAGAAGAAGCAACUUUUUUGGCAGUUUGGGACUUGGGUCUCCAGAAAACUGCAGCAUUUACCAAAUGUUACAUAAGUUUUACCGUCUCUCUCUCGCAGAAGCCCUCUGCAGGGAAGAGUGCUUGUCCCAGCAGCAAUCAUAAAGUAUUUUACUACAAGCUGUAUCAUCAGCUCUCUUUUGUCACUGUUUACAGCCGCCUCUUUAAACCAGAGAUGAUAAAUGCAGGUUUCUGCUGGGUUUACAGUAAAAAUUAAGUUACUAUGUUUUGUUGUUCAAGAGAGAAAGUGCUUCUCUGGUGAAGUGUCCGACUACAGAGCGUUUCCGUAUGUUUGAAAACUGGCACUAAGAUGUGUAAUUGGUAGCAGGAGUGUCUGCUAGCACACUAGGCCUUGAGAGCGCACUUGAAAAGUCAGAGACCGGCAUCAUAUUUGAUUUCAUUCAGAUAAUGAGGGAAAAUUAGUCCUCCUCGAGGCAGAAUCUUCAGAGUUAACUCUUGAUAUGUCGAUGAAAAAAUAAGUUUUAUUUUGUUAAUUUGGAGGAUUCACUACAAGAACUACUAAAAUCACUGAAGUGGAGAGUCAGAAACUAGCAAUCGGACUUAAUUCAAGGUCUGUUUAUCCACACUCCUGGAGGUUUAAGUAUCUUACGCAAAAGAAACCUCGUCAUAAAUCACACUCGAACACAAUUAUAACAAAAAAAUGUCACGAAGUAAAACUUAAGGGCUCUUCAGAUGAAUGAGUGCCUCUUACUCCAGCAUUUCCUUGAGAGAGGGUGAUUUUUAAUGAACCGCCUAUUACAGUCGGUGCGCUGAGCUCACAAACUAAUUGUCGGUGGUGGGAAACAACACAGAAACAGAUGUGGUUUCAAUCAUCCUAGUCCAAUACACACCUGCACUUAUCCAUUAUCACCAUAUGUUACUAAAAACACAGAAACAGGUAUCUCUAAACAGAUUUUGUUGUCCUAUAUUCUGGUCAAUACGGUAAAAAAAGAAGUCUCAGCAAUACUUCAUGAAAAAGCAUCAUCUUUGUUAAAAUGCAUUAAUUGUUGGACAUUUUACAUGCGCUUGAAAUUUGGUAGUAAUCAAACAGGCUGUAAAGGUCCUUACACACCGGGGCCGACGCGAGUAUAGAACGCGAAAUCACGAAAUAUUCAGAGGCGAAUUCUGACGCGCCUGACUAUACACACCAAGCCCCGGGGAAGACUUUUCCGGGGGAAAGUCCCGCCUCCUUCGCCUCUGAUUGGCUAGAAAAGUCGGAAACGUCAUCACACGCUCAAGCCAAAUGCAGAGCAGUGGAUUAAACACUGGCUGUUGCUGCGUCCGAAUUGCCCGCUCGGAUACUACAUGCUACUGCUACAUACUACUGCUAGAUCCUACUCCUACAUACUAAACACGUUGGCCCAAUUUGGACACACUAGACGAGCGGUGGGGAAAGACGACCCCCGCAGGCAGAGAGUAGGUACUGCGCCCGUGCAGACAGUGGUAACUGAAGCCCCUCAUCUGCUGGCCUGGCUGUAGUACUGCAGCUGUGCAGUUUAAUGAUGGAAUAAGUGAGCUUUACCUCCAUGAUGUCGACACAUAUUUGCUCAUAAAAUGAUUACUUGGGCAAAUAUGACACCAUGACAUGACAAAGAGAUACAACCGCACAUUUUUUAGGACAGUGACAGAUACUAAACUCACUAAAAUCUGUAAACCGAACAUUCUAGAUUUAGAGACGAACUGAUCCGCUCUGCUUCAACUAUCAAAAACAUUCGAAAUAAGAAAGCUGACAAAACUACAGCAGAGGAUCAGGACAACAUUGAGGUUUUUUUUUCUUUUAAGAUUUAGAGAUUAAAGUUGUAAAUUUAGGAGAAUAAAGUCAUAAAGUAAAUAAAGUCAUAAAGCUGCUUUUGUGGAGGGGGAAAUGACUGAAGCUGGUCAUCUGCAGGGUUAUCCGUGGAUGUAUCAGCGGGUCAUUCAGAGAGAUUUUGUGGUUUCUGAAGAAACAAUCAAACUGAUGAUGAUCAACAUUUGUGAUCCAGAGGGAGUCGAGCUCCGACGAGCACCACGUCUCUGACACCGGCGGUAACCUACACCUGCAGAGACACCAACACCUUAUUAUGGCAUAUGGAUUCAUAUCAUAAACUAAAGCUCAAUGUCAUUCACGGAUAUUUACGGCUGCAUUGACAGAUAUAUCCUCAGCAUAUUCAUUUCUGCCUCCACAAAAGCAGCGAUUUCCUUCAAGUACACCAGUUUUUUUCCCCGUGGAAAAGACGUAUUUCUCAUAUAUUCUUUUUUUAAGUCUUUAUACUUAUGACAAUGUGAUGCUGAUGUGCCAGAGGAUGAAGUAUCUCCUUGUUUGUGAAACCUAUACUGAAGCACAGUUCCUUCGAAUGCUUCAUGGCCCUAAUUUUAACAAAGUCUCCUCUGAAAGGAGAGAGAGAGACGAAUACUGAAAGCAGGACCCAGUUUCAACUCAAAAGUUCAACUGUUGAUGAAAGUGAGAUUAAGUUUCAUCCC